rnacentral:lncRNA from 1 species
UGGGAUAGGAUUGUGGCCAUUAUUGUGGUUUGCUAGGGAGUGAAGGAGCCACACAGAAUCCAUCGCAGGAAGUGGAGCAGAGUCGUGGCCGUUAUUGUGGUUUGUCAGGGAGUGAUGGAGCCACGCGGGAUCCGUCGCAGGAAGUAGAGCAGAGUCGUGGCCGUUACUGCGGCCUGCCAGGGAGUGAUGGAGCCGCAUGG